GAGUUUGAUCAUGGCUCAGGAUGAACGCUAGCUACAGGCUUAACACAUGCAAGUCGAGGGGCAGCAUGGGAGUUGCUUGCAACUUCUGAUGGCGACCGGCGCACGGGUGAGUAACGCGUAUCCAACCUUCCCCAUAGUAGGGGAUAGCCCGGCGAAAGUCGGAUUAAUACUCUAUGUUCUUCGAAGAGGACAUCUGAUUUGAAGCAAAGAUUUAUCGCUAUGGGAUGGGGAUGCUUCUGAUUAGCUUGAUGGCGGGGUAACGGCCCACCAUGGCGACGAUCAGUAGGGGUUCUGAGAGGAAGGUCCCCCACAUUGGUACUGAGCCAGGAUCAAACUC
rnacentral:rRNA from 1 species